rnacentral:lncRNA from 1 species
AGCAGUCUAUAACCGCUUACAGAGAAGGGAAAAGGUGAAGCUUGGUUCAUAGACGGAUUUACUCUUUAUGCGGUGCAAGCUAGAAAUGUAUUACUAUUGCAUUACAAACAUAUCUGGGAGUGGCCCUGAAAUACAGUAGGGGCAUGGGAAAUUCUCCCAGUGGACAAAGCUGUAGGAUUGAGUAAAAUAUACAUAUGAACUCAUAGACAGUGGUGAAUAUUUUGGCUGUCUGUUCAGGGGCAUAGAAAAUGAAAUAUUGGGCUGGACGCAUGUGGCUAGACCUAAGAAGCCUUAGAGAGCUUGAGUGUAAAUUGUGAAGAUCUUUGUAUCAAAUGGUUGUAAUAAUCCAUCAUGGAAUAAGCACUAAACAAUCAAGGAGAAGAACCAGCCAUCUUCUUCAUCCACCAACCACGUGCUGGCACAAUGAACAGCAUGAACAAUGAACAGCAUGACCAUGGCAGCAGGGAUGAAAGCUAUGCAUGGGCUCAACAAUGUGGCCUCCCUCUUACGAAGACUGAUCUAGCUCCUGCUAUUGCUGAAGAUUCAACCUGCUGGCAACAGAGACCAAAGGAAAUAGGACCAAUCAGAAUCCCAGAAAACCUGUCUGGAGUAAACUUAUAUGAAGCAAGUGAAUCCAAAAGGGACAAUGGUGAACUGCAGUGGAUGCCGUAGCUCAUUACCCAGAGUCCACCUUCUGGGACAGCAGUACCUAGCUGCUGGGAUUGUUGCCUGCUGAUGGCUCGCAGUUGAAUCAC